rnacentral:rRNA from 1 species
GACAGAGGGUGCAAACGUUGUUCGGAAUUACUGGGCGUAAAGCGCGUGUAGGCUGCUUCGCAAGUCGGAUGUGAAAGCCCUGGGCUCAACCCAGGAACUGCACUCGAAACUCCCGGUCUAGAGUGGUGGAGAGGGAAGUGGAAUUCCUGGUGUAGAGGUGAAAUUCGUAGAUAUCAGGAGGAACACCAGUGGCGAAGGCGGCUUCCUGGACACCAACUGACGCUGAGACGCGAAAGCGUGGGGAGCAAACAGG